AGAAACAACUAUUAAUGAAGUUAUGGCUGCUAACUGUGAUUUGAGUAGGUGAUACUAUUC
rnacentral:tRNA from 1 species